CUGACCAUCAUGUGAAAACUGAAGCUGGAGGGAGCUGUUGAUACAACUGGAACCCCUGUUGACAAGGAAGAAGCAGAAGGGCUAUGGUGUCUGAUGUCUUCAGUAACUGUGUUCGAGGACAGACUUGACAAGUGCUUUCAAGUCUGCUAACUGGAUUGUUUUGGAAAAUCUCAGCUUAACUCUUAACAUCUUAUCUGCUUAAUUGCAACUGUGUCGAUAUUUUAAAUGGGUGUUUGUAUUAUGUAAGGACCAGAACCUUUGGAAACCCUGCCAUUAAGGUAAUACCAGAGAAGGAGAGAGAAAAAGAGACAGAGAGACAGAGACGAGAGAGGUGUGUGGCUGAAGACUGGUAGAGCAAGAAAACAGCUCCAACAGGGCCUGGUUGUAACAGAAUGGCCUCCUGUAUGCUUUAAUGGGAAUUACCAGGAUAGACACACGCCCUAGACAAACACGUCACUGCUGACAACCCAUUAAGACUUUGUAUUGGAAGAAAAAAUAUCCAUCCUGUCCUGGAGUAAGAACCAUAGCCCAAAAGACAGACUUUCCCCACAAUGGAAUCCCUGCCAAGAAGACAGCUCCACGGCCAGCACCAGCACCCCAG
rnacentral:lncRNA from 1 species